rnacentral:rRNA from 1 species
CCUACGGGCGGCAGCAGUGGGGAAUAUUGGACAAUGGGGGCAACCCUGAUCCAGCCAUGCCGCGUGUGUGAAGAAGGCCCUCGGGUUGUAAAGCACUUUCAGUGAGGAAGAACGCCUGGUGGUUAAUACCCAUCAGGAAAGACAUCACUCACAGAAGAAGCACCGGCUAACUCCGUGCCAGCAGCCGCGGUAAUACGGAGGGUGCGAGCGUUAAUCGGAAUUACUGGGCGUAAAGCGCGCGUAGGUGGCUUGAUAAGCCGGUUGUGAAAGCCCCGGGCUCAACCUGGGAACGGCAUCCGGAACUGUCAAGCUAGAGUGCAGGAGAGGAAGGUAGAAUUCCCGGUGUAGCGGUGAAAUGCGUAGAGAUCGGGAGGAAUACCAGUGACGAAGGCGGCCUUCUGGACUGACACUGACACUGAGGUGCGAAAGCGUGGGUAGCAAACAGGAUUAGAUACCCUUGUAGUC